rnacentral:rRNA from 1 species
AUGCAAGUCGAACGAUGAUCUCCAGCUUGCUGGGGGGAUUAGUGGCGAACGGGUGAGUAACACGUGAGUAACCUGCCCUUGACUCUGGGAUAAGCCUGGGAAACUGGGUCUAAUACCGGAUAUGACUGCUCCGCGCAUGCGGUGGUGGUGGAAAGCUUUUGCGGUUUUGGAUGGACUCGCGGCCUAUCAGCUUGUUGGUGGGGUAAUGGCCUACCAAGGCGACGACGGGUAGCCGGCCUGAGAGGGUGACCGGCCACACUGGGACUGAGACACGGCCCAGACUCCUACGGGAGGCAGCAGUGGGGAAUAUUGCACAAUGGGCGAAAGCCUGAUGCAGCGACGCCGCGUGAGGGAUGACGGCCUUCGGGUUGUAAACCUCUUUCAGUAGGGAAGAAGCGUAAGUGACGGUACCUGCAGAAGAAGCGCCGGCUAACUACGUGCCAGCAGCCGCGGUAAUACGUAGGGCGCAAGCGUUAUCCGGAAUUAUUGGGCGUAAAGAGCUCGUAGGCGGUUUGUCGCGUCUGCUGUGAAAGACCGGGGCUCAACUCCGGUUCUGCAGUGGGUACGGGCAGACUAGAGUGAUGUAGGGGAGACUGGAAUUCCUGGUGUAGCGGUGAAAUGCGCAGAUAUCAGGAGGAACACCGAUGGCGAAGGCAGGUCUCUGGGCAUUAACUGACGCUGAGGAGCGAAAGCAUGGGGAGCGAACAGGAUUAGAUACCCUGGUAGUCCAUGCCGUAAACGUUGGGCACUAGGUGUGGGGGACAUUCCACGUUUUCCGCGCCGUAGCUAACGCAUUAAGUGCCCCGCCUGGGGAGUACGGCCGCAAGGCUAAAACUCAAAGGAAUUGACGGGGGCCCGCACAAGCGGCGGAGCAUGCGGAUUAAUUCGAUGCAACGCGAAGAACCUUACCAAGGCUUGAC